GGUUGAAGGUUGGGUAACACUAACUGGAGGACCGAACCGACUAAUGUUGAAAAAUUAGCGGAUGACCUGUGGCUGGGGGUGAAAGGCCAAUCAAACCGGGAGAUAGCUGGUUCUCCCCGAAAGCUAUUUAGGUAGCGCCUCGUGAAUUCAUCUCCGGGGGUAGAGCACUGUUUCGGCUAGGGGGCCAUCCCGGCUUACCAACCCGAUGCAAACUGCGAAUACCGGAGAAUGUUAUCACGGGAGACACACGGCGGGUGCUAACGUCCGUCGUGAAGAGGGAAACAACCCAGACCGCCAGCUAAGGUCCCAAAGUCAUGGUUAAGUGGGAAACGAUGUGGGAAGGCCCAGACAGCCAGGAUGUUGGCUUAGAAGCAGCCAUCAUUUAAAGAAAGCGUAAUAGCUCACUGGUCGAGUCGGCCUGCGCGGAAGAUGUAACGGGGCUAAACCAUGCACCGAAGCUGCGGCAGCGACACUGUGUGUUGUUGGGUAGGGGAGCGUUCUGUAAGCCUGCGAAGGUGGCCUGUGAGGGUUGCUGGAGGUAUCAGAAGUGCGAAUGCUGACAUAAGUAACGAUAAAGCGGGUGAAAAGCCCGCUCGCCGGAAGACCAAGGGUUCCUGUCCAACGUUAAUCGGGGCAGGGUGAGUCGACCCCUAAGGCGAGGCCGAAAGGCGUAGUCGAUGGGAAACGGGUUAAUAUUCCCGUACUUGGUGUUACUGCGAAGGGGGGACGGAGAAGGCUAUGUUGGCCGGGCGACGGUUGUCCCGGUUUAAGCGUGUAGGUGUGUGUUCCAGGUAAAUCCGGUUCACUUUAACACUGAGGCGUGACGACGAGGCACUACGGUGCUGAAGCAACAAAUGCCCUGCUUCCAGGAAAAGCCUCUAAGCAUCAGGUAACAUCAAAUCGUACCCCAAACCGACACAGGUGGUCAGGUAGAGAAUACCAAGGCGCUUGAGAGAACUCGGGUGAAGGAACUAGGCAAAAUGGUGCCGUAACUUCGGGAGAAGGCACGCUGACACGUAGGUGAAGUGAUUUACUCAUGGAGCUGAAGUCAGUCGAAGAUACCAGCUGGCUGCAACUGUUUAUUAAAAACACAGCACUGUGCAAACACGAAAGUGGACGUAUACGGUGUGACGCCUGCCCGGUGCCGGAAGGUUAAUUGAUGGGGUCAGCGCAAGCGAAGCUCCUGAUCGAAGCCCCGGUAAACGGCGGCCGUAACUAUAACGGUCCUAAGGUAGCGAAAUUCCUUGUCGGGUAAGUUCCGACCUGCACGAAUGGCGUAAUGAUGGCCAGGCUGUCUCCACCCGAGACUCAGUGAAAUUGAACUCGCUGUGAAGAUGCAGUGUACCCGCGGCAAGACGGAAAGACCCCGUGAACCUUUACUAUAGCUUGACACUGAACAUUGAGCCUUGAUGUGUAGGAUAGGUGGGAGGCUUUGAAGUGUGGACGCCAGUCUGCAUGGAGCCGACCUUGAAAUACCACCCUUUAAUGUUUGAUGUUCUAACGUGGACCCGUUACCCGGGUUGCGGACAGUGUCUGGUGGGUAGUUUGACUGGGGCGGUCUCCUCCUAAAGAGUAACGGAGGAGCACGAAGGUUGGCUAAUCCUGGUCGGACAUCAGGAGGUUAGUGCAAUGGCAUAAGCCAGCUUGACUGCGAGCGUGACGGCGCGAGCAGGUGCGAAAGCAGGUCAUAGUGAUCCGGUGGUUCUGAAUGGAAGGGCCAUCGCUCAACGGAUAAAAGGUACUCCGGGGAUAACAGGCUGAUACCGCCCAAGAGUUCAUAUCGACGGCGGUGUUUGGCACCUCGAUGUCGGCUCAUCACAUCCUGGGGCUGAAGUAGGUCCCAAGGGUAUGGCUGUUCGCCAUUUAAAGUGGUACGCGAGCUGGGUUUAGAACGUCGUGAGACAGUUCGGUCCCUAUCUGCCGUGGGCGCUGGAGAACUGAGGGGGGCUGCUCCUAGUACGAGAGGACCGGAGUGGACGCAUCACUGGUGUUCGGGUUGUCAUGCCAAUGGCACUGCCCGGUAGCUAAAUGCGGAAGAGAUAAGUGCUGAAAGCAUCUAAGCACGAAACUUGCCCCGA
rnacentral:rRNA from 1 species